rnacentral:misc_RNA from 1 species
UCUUUUUACCAAGGAUCACCACAUGUGUACACCCGAGUCGUAAGGUAACCAGUGAGAGCCAGCCGCCUUAGGUGGGAUAGAUGAUUGGGGUGAAGUCGUCACAAGGUAGCCGUAUCGAAAGGUGCGGCUGGAUCACCUCCUUUCUAAGGAUAAGGAACUGCGCAUUGGUCUUGUUUAGUCUUGAGAGGUCUUGUGGGGCCUUAGCUCAGCUGGGAGAGCGCCUCUUUGACGCGGGAGGUCAGCGGUUCGAUCCCGCUAGCUCCAUUGGUGAGAGAUCACCAAGUAAUGCACAUUGAAAAUUGAAUAUCUGUAUAAAAUAGUAACAAGAAAAUAAACCGAAAACGCUGUAGUAUUAAUAAGAGUUUAUGACUCAAAGGUCAGAAAAUAAGGUUAAGUUAAUCAGGGCGCACGGUGCAUGCCUUGGACUAGGAGCCGACGAAGGACGUGACAUACGACGAUAUGCCUUGAGUAGCUGUGAGUGAGCUAUGAUCCAGGCAUUUACGAACGGGCAAAACCCACAGGCCCGGGAAAAUAUUCACAGGCCCGGGGAACGUAUUUACACGGCCCGCGAACGCAUAUACACACCCGGGAUUAUAUUUAUACAGGCGGCGGGGGUUAUCUCCUUUUUUUUUAUCUCUUAUUUUCUGGUAGGU